rnacentral:rRNA from 1 species
UACAGAGGUCUCAAGCGUUGUUCGGAUUCAUUGGGCGUAAAGGGUGCGUAGGUGGCGGGGCAAGUCAGGUGUGAAAUCUCGGGGCUCAACCCCGAAACUGCACUUGAUACUGCUUUGCUCGAGUACUGGAGAGGAAACUGGAAUUUACGGUGUAGCAGUGAAAUGCGUAGAUAUCGUAAGGAAGACCAGUGGCGAAGGCGAGUCUCUGGACAGUUACUGACACUGAGGCACAAAGGCCAGGGGAGCAAACGGG